GAUGCCUGAUACUAAGUUAUUAGUAACUUAGUCGCCUUUCAAGAUAGCCACGGGAAUAGUGGGAAUCCUAUCCAUCGUAUCCUAGAGUGGAGCUAACCGUGUGGUUCCAGCAGUCACGUACCGGCAAGCGCAGCGUAGCACAUCCACCCACAAGGUGGUGGACAGAUGACCUCAUAAAGGUUGCAGGAAGGUGCUGGAUGCAGGCCGCUGCCAACCGGCCAAUCUGGAAAUUAUUGGGGGAGGUCUAUGUUCAGCAGUGGACAUCUUAUAGCUGAGUGAUGAUGAUGAUAAAGUGAGUUUUAAUCCGAAACACGCGUAUAAUUUUUCACCACAGUAACAUCGUGAUAAAUACCAAAUAAUUUUCAAACCGUGAAGCAGUUGAUUGCGGAAUUUUCGCUGUGCUUUUAAUUAUAAACAGUUAUGUGAUAACAGAGCAGCCAUCGACAUGGCGGGAUUAAAAGUGAAUUUUCUUUUGCUAUUUGUGAUUUUUGUGGCGAUUGUUGAUGCUAUUCCUCAGGUUCCCUACGACUACAUCCCAAUAGGGCGCCGAAGCCAUGUUGAAACGGAGUUGUCCCAGCACCCUUCUGACGUCAACCUGAUCUACGAGAAGCUGUUCCCUUCGAGGAGGAAGUGGAGGGACGGCUUGGUUGUCUGAUGACGAGUUUUUUGAGAAAUAAACCUUUGAAUAAUACCA